GUGGGGCCAGGGGGCGGGGCAAGUCUCACCUCAGGGCCCAGGCACCAACUCUUGGACUCAGGGGCUGGGCACAGAGCACAGCCACAAGGAGCUCCAGAAGAUGGGGUCAAAUGGGCAGGGCAGGGGCACCGCCUCCACUGUCCUUGCUCUGGCCAGCACCACGGCCCCGAAGGUCUUUCCACUGUCUUCCUGUGAGGCCACAUCUGGCUCCACAAUCUCCCUGGGCUGCCUGGUCUCUGGCUACUUCCCUGAGCCGGUGACUGUGUCCUGGAACUCAGGCUCCCUGACCAGCGGCGUGCACACCUUCCCCUCCGUCCUGCAGUCCUCUGGGCUCUACUCUCUGAGCAGCAUGGUGACAGCGCCUGCCAGCAGCUCAUCCAGCCAGACGUACACCUGCAACGUAGUCCACCCGGCCAGCAACACCAAGUUGGACAAGACUGUGCCCCCCGGACCUAAUGGAACACCUGCGCCCACAUGCCCACCUGUUGAAACCCCAGGAGGGCCCUCAGUCUUCAUCUUUCCCCCGAAAACCAAGGACGUCCUCAUGAUCUCCCGAACACCCGAGGUCACAUGUAUGGUGGUGGACGUGUCCCCAGAGGACCUCGAAGUAGAGUUCACCUGGUAUGUGAAUGGUGAAAAGAAGAGCGUGGAUAAGGCGAAGGCACAGCAUCAGCAGUUCAACAGCACCUACCGAGUGGUCAAGGCCUUCCCAAUCGCACACCAGGACUGGCUGACUGGCAAGACAUUCAAGUGCAAGGUCAACAGUCAGUCCCUCCCAUCACCCAUUGAGAGGACCAUCUCCAAGACCAAAGGAACAGCCCGGGAACCCCAGGUGUACCCCCUGGCCCCACACACGGACGAGCUGUCCAAGAACACCAUCAGUGUGACCUGCCUGGUCAAAGACUUCUUCCCAGCGGACAUCAGUGUGGAGUGGCAGAGCAAUGGGAAGCCGGAGCCAGAGGCCAAGUACAUCACAACCCCGCCGAUGAAGGACAACGAUGGGUCCUUCUUCCUGUACAGCAAGCUCUCGGUGGACAAAGCCAGGUGGACGCAGGGACAGGUCUUCACAUGUGCGGUCAUGCAUGAGGCUCUGCACAAUCACUACACCCAGAAGCCCAUCUCCCAGACUCCGGGGAUACUCCUGGAUGAGAGUUGUGCAGAGGCCCAGGACGGAGAGCUGGACGGGCUGUGGACCACCAUCUCCAUCUUCAUCACCCUCUUCCUGCUCAGUGUGUGCUACAGCGCCACGGUCACCCUUUUCAAGGUGAAGUGGAUUUUCUCUUCGGUGGUGGAGCUGAAGCGGACCAUCGUCCCUGAUUAUAGGAACAUGAUCGGACAGGGGGCUUAGCACCAGCCCUCCUGGGAAGGCAUCCAGAACUUCCCCUGACUGGUACAGGACCUGGGUCUGCUGGUUCAUGCUGCUCAACCUGCUGCCCAGGCCUGCUCCUCCACCCUCUGACCUUGCUGACCUUUGACCUCACCACCUUCUGGCCCCAUGGCCACCCUGGGACUGUGCUUCUGCCAUCUGGCAUCACAGCCAUCCUAGGCUGCAUCCUGCCGUGACCCACCCCCUAGGAGAACCAGGUGGACAGCAGGUUCUGCCCUCAACCUGAGCUGAUGGACAUCUGCUGGCCCCUGCACAGCAGUCCCCAAGACACUGCCAGGGGUCAUGCGGACACCAAGAGCAUCAGUACGGGACAUUCUCACCCCAGGAUGGCCCUGCCUGGGGUCAGCACCCAAGUCCACCUGGAGGAGGUGGGGGCCCUGUGUUCCUGGCACCCAUUGGGUGGGGUCCAAAUGCUGAAGUCCUGGAAGGGUCCUGAAUGCCCACCAGGGGAGCUUUGAGAUGGGCCCUAGUGGUCACCUAGAUGGCUACCACCAGAGGAGACCCUCAGAGACGGGCCUGGGCUGGGCUGCGGCAGGGGCCCAGGGGUGCAGGGAAGUACCACCCAGGGAGAGGUGAGUGUCUACCUACAACCAUCCUGGGGAGGAGGCUGGUGGCCAGUUCCCCAAGCAGGUGAGACACAGCCUAGUCAGUGGACAGAAGAGGUCAAGGGACCUGGGCAUUGGGGUGCAGAGCGGCAGGAAAGCAGGAAAGUGGGGGCAGAGGAUGUGAGUUCUGCCCCCUCUGCCCUUCCCAGGGCCUCUCCCUGCUCCAGUGGGGGAGAGUCAUGAGAACCCAGAGUACUUAGAGCAGAGCAUUCCCCCUGUCUUAGGGAGCCAGCAGGGUGGGCUGGGCAGAGGUCCAGAUCUCCAAUAAGAACCAAGUCAUCUCACCUAGACAGGAAAGAGGGAGAUGUAGACCCCAUGAGUAUAGGGGAUGUGCAGAGAGAGAUUACUCAAAGGAAACUCCACAUUGUAGCUUGGGUUGCUUUUUAUUUUCUUUUUUAUUUUCUGGAUCCCAUUAGUUUUCUUUACUGUUCUUUUUAUGACAAUAAAACAUCCUAAAAAUUCCAUAA